rnacentral:rRNA from 1 species
AUUGAACGCUGGCGGCAGGCCUAACACAUGCAAGUCGAACGAGUGGCGGACGGGUGAGUAAUGUAUGGGAAACGGCUUGAUGGAGGGGGAUAACUACUGGAAACGGUAGCUAAUACCGCAUACCAUCACCAGUGCCCAGAUGGGAUUAGCUUGUUGGUGGGGUAACGGCUCACCAAGGCGACGAUCCCUAGCUGGUCUGAGAGGAUGACCAGCCACACUGUAACUGAGACACGGUCCAGACUCCUACGGGAGGCAGCAGUGGGGAAUAUUGCACAAUGGGCGAAAGCCUGAUGCAGCCAUGCCGCGUGUAUGAAGAAGGCCUUCGGGUUGUAAAGUACUUUCAGCGGGGAGGCGUUACCCGAAGAAGAAGCACCGGCUAACUCCGUGCCAGCAGCCGCGGUAAGUG